rnacentral:rRNA from 1 species
AUUGAACGCUGGCGGAAUGCUUUACACAUGCAAGUCGAACGGUAGAGGGGGCAACCCCUUGAGAGUGGCGAACGGGUGAGUAAUAUAUCGGAACGUGCCCAGUCGUGGGGAUAACGUAGCGAAAGUUACGCUAAUACCGCAUACGAUCUAAGGAUGAAAGCGGGGGACUCGCAAGAGCCUCGCGCGAUUGGAGCGGCCGAUAUCAGAUUAGGUAGUUGGUGGGGUAAAGGCUCACCAAGCCAACGAUCUGUAGCUGGUCUGAGAGGACGACCAGCCACACUGGAACUGAGACACGGUCCAGACUCCUACGGGAGGCAGCAGUGGGGAAUUUUGGACAAUGGACGCAAGUCUGAUCCAGCCAUUCCGCGUGCAGGAUGAAGGCCCUCGGGUUGUAAACUGCUUUUGUACGGAACGAAAAGGUUUCUAUUAAUACUAGGAGCUCAUGACGGUACCGUAAGAAUAAGCACCGGCUAACUACGUGCCAGCAGCCGCAGU